rnacentral:rRNA from 1 species
UACGUAGGGGGCAAGCGUUGUCCGGAAUCAUUGGGCGUAAAGAGCGUGUAGGCGGCUCGAUAAGUCUGCUGUGAAAGUCCAGGGCUCAACCCUGGAAGGCCGGUGGAAACUGUCGGGCUAGAGUCCGGAAGAGGCGAGUGGAAUUCCCGGUGUAGCGGUGAAAUGCGCAGAUAUCGGGAGGAACACCAAUGGCGAAGGCAGCUCGCUGGGACGGUACUGACGCUGAGACGCGAAAGCGUGGGUAGCAAACAGG